rnacentral:rRNA from 1 species
CAGCACCUCAAGUGGUCAGGAUGAUUAUUGGGCCUAAAGCAUCCGUAGCCGGCUCUGUAAGUUUUCGGUUAAAUCUGUAUGCUUAACAUACAGGCUGCCGGGAAUGCUGCAGAGCUAGGGAGUGGGAGAGGUAGACGGUACUCGGUAGGAAGGGGUAAAAUCCUUUGAUCUAUUGAUGACCACCUGUGGCGAAGGCGGUCUACCAGAACACGUCCGACGGUGAGGGAUGAAAGCUGGGGGAGCAAACCGGAUUAGAUACCCGAGUAGUCC